rnacentral:rRNA from 1 species
GACAGAGGAUGCAAGCGUUAUCCGGAAUGAUUGGGCGUAAAGCGUCUGUAGGUGGCGAUGUAAGUCUGGUGUGAAAUCUCGGGGCUCAACCUCGAAAUUGCAUUGGAUACUGCGUUGCUAGAGGAUUGUAGAGGAGAGUGGAAUUCCUGGUGUAGCGGUGAAAUGCGCAGAUAUCAGGAGGAACACCAGCGGCGAAGGCGGCGCUCUGGGCUGGCACUGACACUGAGGAGCGAAAGCGUGGGGAGCGAACAGG